CUGGGCUACCUAAGAAGUACUGAAAAUGCCAUCAAUGAGACAGCUUGCAGGCAACAAAAUGACAGUGAUGCCCAAUGGGUUGAAGCAAAUCUGGGUCCAUUCGUCCAAUAUACAGCAUACUCUGACCUCAGUGACUUCAACAUCUCUACAGCUGGAUUGUUGUCAACACUCGAUCCCUCUGAGGUGGCACAGCUGCUACUGAGCUCUGGAGCCUCCAACGACACAGAUUUCAUUGAUCUCGUGUUUGAGCGACUGGAAGAGGGCAACGCUCUGGA